rnacentral:rRNA from 1 species
GCAUAAUCACUUGUCCCUUAAAUCGGGACUGGAAUGAACGGCUAAAUUAGGACUAAACUGUCUCUUACAGGCCAGCCAAUGAAAUUGAUUUUCCAGUACAAAAGCUGGGAUACACCCACAAGACGAGAAGACCCUGUGGAGCUUACAAACCAAAUUCACCAAACAUGUCUAUCGGUUUUCAGUUGGGGCGACUUCGGAGUACAAAAUAACCUCCAAACAUAAAACUAAUUAAGAACAACAUAUCAAAGUAUAAUUAUAAUGACCCAGCAACCUUCUGGUUGUCUGACUAAUGAACCAAGUUACCCCAGGGAUAACAGCGCCAUCCCCUUCUAGAGUCCCUAUCGACAAGGGGGUUUACGACCUCGAUGUUGGAUCAGGACACCCCAAUGGUGCAGCCGCCAUUAACGGUUCGUUUGUUCAACGAUUAAAGUCCAACGUGAU